rnacentral:rRNA from 1 species
CCCUUAGAUGUUCUGGGCCGCACGCGCGCUACACUGAUGCAUUCAACGAGUUUCUUCCUGGUCCGAGAGGAAUGGGUAACCUUUUGAAAGUGCAUCGUGAUAGGGAUAGACUAUUGCAAUUAUUGGUCUUCAACGAGGAAUUCCUAGUAGACGUAGUUCAUCAGACUGCAUGGAUUACGUCCCUGCCCUUUGUACACACCGCCCGUCGCUCCUACCGAUUGGGUGUGCUGGUGAAAUGUUCGGAUCGGCCGUUUGUCGCGGUUUCCGCGUCAUGUGGCUGAGAAGUUCAUUAAACCCUCCCACCUAGAGGAAGGAGAAGUCGUAACA